UGCUGCAGUUUGUUGGGUGUGCACUCCAGACCCUAAUCACCUGGGUUUCCACUGCACCUGGAGGUAUCACCAGUGGAGGCUGCAAAACAGCAAAGAUGGCAGCCUGCUCCUUCUUCUGGGAGGUCCUUUCCAGAUGGGCACCAAACUGAUGCCGGCCCAAACGCUUCUGUAGGAAGUGCCUGGAGACCUCUGUUGGGAGGUCUCACCCAGUCAGGAGGAAAAGGAUCAGGGAUCUGCUUAAAGAAGCAGUCUGGCUUCCCCUUGUUGGAGUGGGUGCACUGCGCUGGUGGAAACCCCCUUUUGUACAGAAGCCCCCAGACUCUUCGGAGCCAGCAGGAUCCUAAUGGGAGAAAAGUGCCAUGGCAGAAGGAGAUUCUGUUGAGAAGAUAAAUGCCCUCUGACUAUGUCUUCUUCAAUCCUCAAAAAUAUUGCCAUUAUGUUUGAGAGCAGUUGAUAAAGCAUAGUGUGCUGGGAAGAGUGCUGGAGAAGGAGUCAGUUGACCUUCACGACUGUCCAAUUCUGCAAUGAGCAAGCUGUGUCACUUUGGGCAAAUCAUGGGUUCUCUGUUUCUCUGUUUCAUCUAUAAAGUGAGGCAAUGAAAUAUUAUGAUCUUAAAUUAUUUCUUUACAGUUAUAUGACAUUAAUCAAUUCCUGACUUCCUUCUUCCAUUGGUCAUAAAUAUGUGUAUGUAUGUAUAAUAUAUUCAUAGAUAAUGUGUGUGUGUGUAGUGAUUUUUUUUCCCAACUCAUGGCUGACUUCAGUCUUAAUAAUUACUUUGAUUACACAGUUUUCUACAUAAAAAUUUAAAUUACAAAAUUCUUGUACAUAACCAAACAAAACCCUCUGAGCAAAUUUAAACUGAAGAUUUAGUUGAAUAAUUUUAUUUUAUAUUUUUGCUCCAGAAUUUUCUACUGUGGCAUCUUUAUCAGAUAUUUGUUGAAAGGUUGUUAUUAUGCACUAAUGAAUGAUAGUGUUGAGAACUUGGUCACAGACCUUCACUACAGUGUUACAAACUAUCUUAGAAAUGAAAAAUGUGAAGUCUUAUGACUAAUAAUUGAAUGAUUGUUUUAACAAAUGUAAAUGUGAUUGUGAUGGUUAAUAUUCAGUGUCAACUUGAUUGGAUUGAAGGAUGCCAAGUAUUUUUCCUAGGUGUGUCUGUGAGGGUGUUGCCAAAGGAGAUUAACAUUUGAGUCAGUGGACUGGAAGAGGCAGACCCACCCUCAAUCUGGGUGGGCACCAUCUAAUCAGCUGCCAGUGUGGCUAGAGUAAAGCAGGCAGGAGAAGAUGGAAGAGCAGACUUGCUGAGUCUCCUGGCCUUCAUCUUUCUCCCAUGCUGAAUGCUUCCUGCCCUCGUACAUCAGACUCCAAGUUCUUCAGUUUUUAGACUCUUGGACUUACACCAGUGGUUUGCCAGGGUCUCUCGGACCUUUGGCCACAGACCGAAGGCCACACUGUCGUCUCUUCUACUUUUGAGGUUUUGGGACUCGGACUGAUCCACCCCUGGCUUCCUUGCUCCUCAACUUGCAGACGAACUAUCGUGGGACUUUACUUUGUGAUCACGUGAGUCAGUUCUCCUGAAUAAACUCCCUUUCAUAUAUA